rnacentral:rRNA from 1 species
CAAGUCGAACGCGAAAGCCCCGCAAGGGGUAAGUAGAGUGGCAAACGGGUGAGUAACACGUGGGUGACCUGCCUUCGAGUGGGGGAUAACGUCCCGAAAGGGACGCUAAUACCGCAUGACAUCCUGCCUUUGAACAGGUGGAGAUCAAAGCUGGGGAUCGCAAGACCUAGCGCUCAAAGAGGGGCCCGCGCCUGAUUAGCUAGUUGGUGGGGUAACGGCUCACCAAGGCGACGAUCAGUAUCCGGCCUGAGAGGGCGGACGGACACACUGGGACUGAGACACGGCCCAGACUCCUACGGGAGGCAGCAGUGGGGAAUUGUUCGCAAUGGGCGCAAGCCUGACGACGCAACGCCGCGUGGAGGAUGAAGAUCUUCGGGUCGUAAACUCCUUUCGAUCGAGACGAAUGAUCUCCGGGUGAACAAUCCGGAGGAAUGACGGUACCGAGAGAAGAAGCCCCGGCUAACUCCGUGCCAGCAGCCGCGGUAAUACGGGGGGGGCAAGCGUUGUUCGGAAUUACUGGGCGUAAAGGGCUCGUAGGCGGCCAACUAAGUCAGACGUGAAAUCCCUCGGCUUAACCGGGGAACUGCGUCUGAUACUGGUUGGCUUGAAUCCGGGAGAGGGAUGUGGAAUUCCAGGUGUAGCGGUGAAAUGCGUAGAUAUCUGGAGGAACACCGGUGGCGAAGGCGGCAUCCUGGACCGGUAUUGACGCUGAGGAGCGAAAGCCAGGGGAGCAAACGGGAUUAGAUACCCCGGUAGUCCUGGCCCUAAACGAUGAAUGCUUGGUGUGGCGGGUAUCGAUCCCU